rnacentral:rRNA from 1 species
UAAUACGGGGGGUGCAAGCGUUAUCCGGAAUCACUGGGUUUAAAGGGUGCGUAGGCGGGACAUUAAGUCAGUGGUGAAAGUCUGUUGCUUAACGAUAGAAUUGCCGUUGAUACUGAUGUUCUUGAAUUGGGUUGAGGUUAGCGGAAUGUGACAUGUAGCGGUGAAAUGCAUAGAUAUGUCAUGGAACACCAAUUGCGAAGGCAGCUAGCUGGGCCUUGAUUGACGCUGAGGCACGAAAGCGUGGGGAGCAAACAGG